UACGAGAGGCCCAAACGUUAUUCGGAAUUACUGGGCUUAGAGAGUUCGUAGGCGGCAUGAAAAGUAGGGUGUGAAAGCCCUCGGCUCAACCGAGGAAUUGCGCUCUAAACUGUCGUGCUAGAGGAACCUAGAGGUGAGCAGAACUGAUGGUGGAGCGGUGAAAUGCGUUGAUAUCAUCAGGAAUACCGGAGGCGAAGGCGGCUCACUGGGGGUUUUCUGACGCUGAGGAACGAAAGCCAGGGGAGCGAACGGG
rnacentral:rRNA from 1 species